GUGAUGUAAAGGUUCAACGGAAAUACAGGUCACAAUAGGCUAAAUAAAGAUAACGUGGACUAAAGAAACAAUAUGAUCGCAACGUUACUUUAUCAGGUUGGAGACUACAUGAGAUUUUGACAGAUGGCGGGAAACCCUCAUCAACUGGAGAUCAGCCGGUAGAGGAAUGUCUGCGACUAAGCCGAGGACCACUGCAUAAGGGUUAUUGAUGGCAAAACAGGUAGAGGAAUGUCUGCGACUAAGCCGAGGGCCACUGCAUAAGGGUUAUUGAUGGCAAAACAGGUUGGAGACUACAUGAGAUUUUGACAGAUGGCGGGAAACCCUCAUCAACUGGAGAUCAGCCGGUAGAGGAAUGUCUGCGACUAAGCCGAGGGCCACUGCAUAAGGGUUAUUGAUGGCAAAACAGGUUGGAGACUACAUGAGAUUUUGACAGAUGGCGGGAAACCCUCAUCAACUGGAGAUCAGCCGGUAAAAAGGUGGCCUUAAAACAGUGACCGUUGAUUCGCGUCGAGUUCUUUCUUACAUACUGCAUGACCUAUCUUUUUUAUUGUUUAAAUCCAUUCGGCUUGGCAUGCUCUUUAAGAAAAGGUAUGGGUAUGGGGGUGUCUACGCGCAAAAGUUUGACUUUAUUUUUCAUUGAAGUUGUUGAUUUUACAUUGAAUUUGUUAAGGAAAUCUUUUGGUAUAUUGUAACCUAAACUAACUUUAGGUAAAAAUGAAAUAUCAUCUGCAAGUGCAAAAUAUGACUGGUAAAGCUGAUUUUUGGUCAUUUCUUAGCAAAAGAGAAGAUUAUAAGUGCAUUAAAUGCAUGAAUUCAGAUGAUUUGACCCAAAAUAGUUGUUUUUCAAGUUGACCCUCCACCCUUAUAUAGCCGAAUAAGGGCUAAAUUGCUUUCCAACUUAAGUUCAAAGGCAUAUUGGUUGACCGUGUAGCAUUAAUGUACUACAUGAUGUCAGAAUUCAACGCCUGGGUCUCCGUGAUCCAGUAACGCAACAAUAGCUUGUGCGUAAAGCAUUAACAUUCAAACAGAGCCCCAUUUCACCGAUAUGGAAUGGCGGACAUUUUUACAGAUUGGACAGUGCAGCAGAUGCUUAGCUGAGCCAGCCUUCAUAUUUAGUACAAUCAUGAAUAUAACAAGCUUUAUCACUACAUAUUAUUCUUAUAAAUACACUUAAAAUACAUAA